rnacentral:rRNA from 1 species
GGCUCAGGAUGAACGCUAGCGGCAGGCUUAAUACACGCAAGUCGAGGGGCAGCACGAAUAGCAAUAUUUGGUGGCGACCGGCGCACGGGUGCGUAACACGUAUACAACCUACCUAUAACAGGGGGAUAGCCUUUCGAAAGAGAGAUUAAUACCCCGUAAUAAAUUGAGUGGCAUCACUUGAUUUUGAAAGCUACGGCGGUUAUAGAUGGGUAUGCGUCUGAUUAGCUAGUUGGUGAGGUAACGGCUCACCAAGGCGACGAUCAGUAGGGGAUCUGAGAGGACUAACCCCCACACUGGUACUGAGACACGGACCAGACUCCUACGGGAGGCAGCAGUAAGGAAUAUUGGUCAAUGGAGGCAACUCUGAACCAGCCAUGCCGCGUGCAGGAUGACGGCCCUAUGGGUUGUAAACUGCUUUUGUACCAGAGAAAACCUACUCACGUGUGAGUAGCUGAUAGUAUGGUAAGAAUAAGCAUCGGCUAACUUCGUG